rnacentral:rRNA from 1 species
GUUUUGGGGCCGUUACUCGCAGAAAUAGCACCGGCUAACUCUGUGCCAGCAGCCGCGGUAAUACGUAGGUGCGUGCCAGCAGCCGCGGUA